rnacentral:rRNA from 1 species
ACGAACGCUGGCGGCGUGCCUAAUACAUGCAAGUCGAGCGGAAUGAUGAAGAAGCUUGCUUCUUCUGAUUUUAGCGGCGGACGGGUGAGUAACACGUGGGCAACCUACCUUGUAGAUUGGGAUAACUCCGGGAAACCGGGGCUAAUACCGAAUAAUCCAUUUCGCUUCAUGGCGAGAUGUUGAAAGACGGUUUCGGCUGUCACUACAAGAUGGGCCCGCGGCGCAUUAGCUAGUUGGUAGGGUAAUGGCCUACCAAGGCGACGAUGCGUAGCCGACCUGAGAGGGUGAUCGGCCACACUGGGACUGAGACACGGCCCAGACUCCUACGGGAGGCAGCAGUAGGGAAUCUUCCACAAUGGACGAAAGUCUGAUGGAGCAACGCCGCGUGAGUGAAGAAGGUUUUCGGAUCGUAAAACUCUGUUGUAAGGGAAGAACACGUACGAGAGUAACUGCUCGUACCUUGACAGUACCUUAUUAGAAAGCCACGGCUAACUACGUG